rnacentral:rRNA from 1 species
AUGAACGCUGGCGGCGUGCCUAAUACAUGCAAGUCGAGCGCACGGACGAGAAGCUUGCUUCUCUGAUGUUAGCGGCGGACGGGUGAGUAACACGUGGAUAACCUACCUAUAAGACUGGGAUAACUUCGGGAAACCGGAGCUAAUACCGGAUAAUAUUUUGAACCGCAUGGUUCAAAAGUGAAAGACGGUCUUGCUGUCACUUAUAGAUGGAUCCGCGCUGCAUUAGCUAGUUGGUAAGGUAACGGCUUACCAAGGCAACGAUGCAUAGCCGACCUGAGAGGGUGAUCGGCCACACUGGAACUGAGACACGGUCCAGACUCCUACGGGAGGCAGCAGUAGGGAAUCUUCCGCAAUGGGCGAAAGCCUGACGGAGCAACGCCGCGUGAGUGAUGAAGGUCUUCGGAUCGUAAAACUCUGUUAUUAGGGAAGAACGUAUGUGUAAGUAACUGUGCACAUCUUGACGGUACCUAAUCAGAAAGCCACGGCUAACUACGUG